rnacentral:rRNA from 1 species
CCCUUAGAUGUUCUGGGCAGCACGCGCGCUACAAUGGUCUUCCCAAACGGAUGCAUUCUCGAAGGAGAAUGCCAAUCUUGGAAUCUAUGCCUUGGUCGGGACAGUUGCUUGCAAUUUUUCGACUCGAACCAGGAAUUCCUUGUAAUCGUGAUUCAUCACAUCACGAUGAAUACGUCCCUGCCCUUUGUACACACCGCCCGUCGCUCCUACCGAUCGAAGAGUUAGGUGAAUUGUUUUGAUCGAUAAGAUUUGACUAUGGUCAACUCUCGUUGUGAAAUUCUGUGAAUCUGACUGUUUAGAGGAAGGAAAAGUCGUAACA